AGUCGGAGUGUGUUUCCCGUAUGUGUGCAUGUACCGGAAGUCCCGUUUAAGCUGCACUGGUGGUUGGUUUUGGUUCAAAAUGGAACAAUGAAAAAUACCUUUAAUAUUGGGUUGCUUAUAUAUUUUCACCAUAGAUGUGGAAAUCAUAAUAGGCUAUUAAUAAAAUUAUAAAUUAUACAUGUGGCCUUUAAAUAUCUUUUCUACGUACCCUUGUUAUUAAUUAAUUACUAAAAUCAAAAGAAAUUUCCUUCUCAAUUACAUGUCGUUGAGUUUUCCACCUAGAUAUGUGUUGUAUUUUUUUAUCUUAUUAAAAUAACAUAAAAUCUUAUUUACUCUCAAUCAAAAUCAAUCUAGAAUAUAAGGGUGUCUCUAUGUACUUCUCUAGGUGUGUGUUUAAUUGUUUUUUUUGUUGCAUAUAUGCAAAUAUCAAGUCAUAAAAACAUGUUUUACCUUAAUAAACACAACCAGGUGUUACUAAAAAAAUAUAAUCAUAAAAACCUAUAAUGAAAUAUAGAUAUACAAAUCAAGGAUAGAGGGAAAAGAAAUAUCUUCAAAUAAUAGAUGGAAAAUAGUGUUUUAUUUCUUUCUUCAUUACGAGAACUACGAUCUUUGGCUCUGGAACUGAAUCAUUUCCUUGUAUCUGAGAAAGACUUCCAGAUUCAAAGGAAGGAAGUUUAAUUGGACUGAAUCAGAAAUUUUAUUCUAUGAUUGAUCAGUAUAAACAUCAACACCUUCGAAUUGGAUCAGUUUCUCCUGAACAAAUAAGUGCUUGGGCAAAAAAAAUCCUACCUAAUGGAGAAAUUGUUGGAGAGGUAACAAAACCCUAUACUCUUCAUUACAAAACCAAUAAGCCUGAAAAAGAUGGAUUAUUUUGUGAACGAAUUUUUGGGCCUAUAAAAAGUGGGAUUUGUGCUUGUGGAAAUUAUCGAGUAAUCGGAGAUAAAAAAGACCAACCCAAAUUUUGUGAACAAUGCGGAGUAGAAUUUGUUGAUUCUCGGGUACGUAGGUAUCAAAUGGGGUAUAUAAAACUAGCAUGUCCAGUAACCCAUGUAUGGUAUUUGAAACGUCUUCCUAGUUAUAUUGCGAGCCUUUUAGAUAAACCUCUUAAAGAAUUAGAAGGUCUAGUAUACUGCGAUGUGUGAUUUGAUAAAAAUUCUUAUUGUACAGAUUUCAAAUGAGAAACUGUCAUUCCAUUCAAUUAAAUUGGAAUGUCCUCUAUCUGGCAUGUCUCUUGGGAUGAGUAACAUGAAGCUCAGAAUUCAUGGGUGUAUUGAAUACUCCCAAAUCAAUAAGGGAAUUGGUCUAUGGUCAAUUCAGUAACAAAUAAAUAUUUAUUUAUAACCGUACGUACCUUGUGAAAAAAAAAAAAUUAUUUUUUUGUGGAAUUAAUUAUUUCAUCUCUUUUUUUUUUAAGAACUUAAAUUAAGUUCAAAGAAUAAAAUAUAAUAUAUCAUGAUUGCCGAAGUCUAUCUAUCGCAUAUAGGCUUAAAGACAUCGUGGCAUAACCGUCGAGGUGACGUCUUGACCUAAAAGAUCAAAUGGUAUGAUACAUAGACAAAGAAAUCUCUUAUGAAUUCGAGGAUAUUCCUUUUUUUUAUUAAAAAGUAUAUUUUAAAGGAUUCUUCGUUCGAAGGGAGGUAGACUACUCAAGAAUUUUACAUUGAAUUUCUGUCGUAAUUUCGAAUUGCAUAAAGAAUUCAGAAACAAAGAAGAAUGUAUCAAUGAAAUGUUGCUUCGUCUGUAUUGAUAACUUGAGUAAAGAGUAAACCUUUUUUAUUUUAGAUUUAGAGGUUUUCAAAAAUUUGAAAACGGAAACCACUUUCUUUAUCUUUAUUGUGUGUAAAUACUUUAGCCGGAUGAGAGGAAACCCUCACGUCCGAUUUUCAAAGGGGGAGAUCCAUCUUAUUGGAUCCUAUCCAAAUUUUUCGUUUGCUAGGCCCGUAGUUAAAAAACCUACUUUCUUACGAUUACGAGGUUCAUUCGAAUACGAAAUCCAAUCUUGGAAAUACAGUAUCCCACUCUUUUUUGCUACUCAAGGUUUCGAUACAUUUCGAAAUAGAGAAAUUUCUAGUGGAGCAGGUGCUAUACGAGAACAAUUAGUUGAUUUGGAUUUAAGAAUUAUUAUGGAUUCUUCGUUGGUAGAAUGGAAAGAAUUAGGAGAAGAGGGAUCCGCCGACAAUGAAAAUGAAAAUGAAUGGGAAGAUCGAAAAGUAGGAAGAAGAAAGAAUUUUUUGGUUCGACGCAUGGAAUUAGUUAAGCACUUUAUCCGAACAAAUAUAGAACCAGAAUGGAUGGUUUUAUCUCUCUUACCAGUUCUUCCUCCCGAAUUGAGACCAAUUAUUCAAAUAGAUGGAGGGAAACUAAUGAGUUCGGAUAUUAAUGAACUCUAUAGAAGAGUUAUCUAUCGGAACAAUACUCUUAUUGACCUAUUAACAACAAGUAGAUCUACACCAGGGGAAUUAGUAAUGUGUCAAGAAAAAUUGGUACAAGAAGCCGUGGAUACACUCCUUGAUAAUGGAAUCCGCGGACAACCAAUGAGGGACGGUCAUAAUAAAGUUUACAAAUCGUUUUCAGAUAUAAUUGAGGGCAAAGAGGGAAGAUUUCGAGAGACUCUGCUUGGAAAACGAGUUGAUUAUUCGGGGCGUUCUGUUAUUGUCGUAGGUCCAUCACUUUCAUUACAUCGAUGUGGAUUGCCCCGCGAAAUAGCAAUAGAGCUAUUUCAGACAUUUCUAAUUCGUGGUUUAAUUCGAAAACAUUUUGCUUCGAACAUAGGAGUUGCUAAGAGUAAAAUACGGGAAAAAGAACCGAUUGUAUGGGAAAUACUUCAAGAAGUUAUGCGGGGGCAUCCAGUAUUGCUGAAUAGAGCGCCUACUUUGCAUAGAUUGGGCAUACAGGCAUUUCAACCUAUUUUAGUAGAAGGACGUGCUAUUUGUUUACAUCCAUUAGUGUGUAAGGGAUUCAAUGCAGACUUUGAUGGGGAUCAAAUGGCUGUUCAUGUGCCUUUAUCUUUGGAGGCUCAAGCAGAAGCUCGUUUACUUAUGUUUUCUCAUACAAACCUCUUGUCUCCGGCUAUUGGGGAUCCCAUUUCCGUACCAACUCAAGAUAUGCUUAUAGGACUUUACGUAUUAACUAGCGGAAAUCGUCGAGGUAUUUGUGCAAACAGGUAUAAUCCGUUUAAUUGCCGAAAUUCUAAAAAUGAAAAAAUUAGCAAUAAUAACUCUAAGUAUAUGAAAAAAAAAGAACCCUUUUUUUGCAAUUCCUAUGAUGCAAUUGGAGCUUAUCGACAGAAAAGAAUAAAUUUAGAUAGUCCUUUUUGGCUCCGGUGGCGAAUAGAUCAAUGCAUUAUGUCUUCAAGAGAAGUUCCUAUCGAAGUUCACUAUGAAUCUUUUGGUACCUAUUAUGAAAUUUAUGGGCAUUAUUUAGUAAUAAGAAGUAUAAAAAAAGAAAUUCGUUGUAUAUACAUUAGAACCACUGUUGGUCAUAUUUCUUUUUAUCGAGAAAUUGAAGAAGCUAUACAAGGUUUUUCUCGAGCCUAUUCAUAUGGUAUCUAAUCAUAUAGAUGGUUAGUGUUGAUAUCCAAGCUAGGUAAAUUUAUGUUAUGAUACUGGCGUAAAUUCAGGUCAACUAGCAUCUUUUCUAUUUUCUACGUGAAUAAACAUAAAGAAAAGGAAGUUUUCCAAUCAUUCACUCAAAUUCAUUGUCGAACCGAAUCCCACUGAGUGGAAUAUGGAGGUACUUAUGGCAGAACGGGCCAAUCUAGUCUUUCACUUUCUUCCAUGCUUAGUGCGCAUGAUAGAAAGAGUCGAGCUUUGGAGUUUAGAAGUACUUUUUCUUUAUCUUCCUUUGACCAUGAUGCUUCUGGUGUGAGUGUAUCCACCUUUGUUGUUGCAUCAGUUGUCAUAGGUAUAUGUUCUCCAUUUGUGAUUAUUUUCCACAUAUCCACGUCUUGGGAUCUGAGGAAUAGUUUCAUUUUUCCUUUCCAGAAAUAAUAGUUCUUUCCAUUGAAGAAUGGUGGUCUUGUGCAUGAUAGACCUUCUGGUAUGUACUUUUCUUUUGACAUUGCCUUCUUCCUGAAUCUUUUCCUCCAACACUUGUUAGGUGUUUUUGUAGAGCCCGGGCUCUGAUACCAAUUAAAGUAGCAAUAAACGUCACAAGAAAGGGGGGGUUUGAAUUGUGACCCUUUUAAAAAUUAUUCCUGAAACUUAAGUUUAGAUUUAUAUACUCAAGAAUAAUCUUGGUGUAUGUUAGCUUAACAAGAUUAGAGUAUAUAACAAUUAAUUGAAUUUAGAACAGAACAUUCUGAAGACUGAUUAUAAACAGAAUGAGAAAAAUGAUGUUAAGUUAAAAGAUUAUUUUAGCAAGGACCAGAAUGUUCUGGAGAUUAAUAAAAUAAUGUGUGUGUGUGUUGUGUAACUUUAAAUAAAGAGAGAGAUAGAGAUAGAGAGAGAGAGAGAGAAGAAUAACACAGGAGAGUUAUCCUGGUUCACCAAACCCGGCUACUUCCAGUCCCCACACCUCGUGUGAGAUUAUCCACUAUAGUUUUCUUGCUAACAGAAACUUCUGACUAGCACUACAAUAUCUUGAUCACACCAGAUCAGUCCGUAACCUCUGUAUUAUCAACCUCAGCAGGCUUAUACAAUUCUUUGCACACUAGCAAAAGAAAGGUUGGAAUUUUCUAUCUCAAAACUAUUAAGCCCAAUAGACUUUGAGAAAUACAACACUCUUUGUAUGAAGAGAUUUGUUUUGGAUCGAAUAAAUACUCAAAUCUUUGUUUGAGUUUUACAAGAGGCAAAUUCAAGAGAGAUGAUCCAAGAGAUAUAGUGAGAGAGCUUGGAAUUUGCUUUGUUUGUGAAGAGCUUUGUUUGUAGUGAUGAUUUUCACUUUGAGAGAUAUUAGCUUGCAAAACUCUUGCUUAUGACCUUCAAAGGCCCUUGUAUUUAUAGGUGAGGAGUGUCUUGGUACCAAGGGAGAAAAUAGAGCUGUUGGACACGUUUUUGAUAGCUGUCCAAAGUCUCAAUUGAUUUCUCUUUUCUUCUUUAAAAUAGCCAGAACGUUCUCAGAAUGUUCUUUCUGAUUUGCCUGACUUAGAAAGCACUGUUGCUUUGCUUGCGCAUGAGAUAACCAGCUGUGAUGAGCUGUAUAACUUGCAGCCCACUUCUGAUGAUGUCAUGUCCUUUUGCUCUAGUGAUGUCAUGCUUAAGUAAGCCAUGUGAUCUUAUCCAUUUAAUGGGCUUUACUUUUUCAAAUGGGCUUAAAGCUUUUCUUAUGGCCCAAUAGACAUAAUCAGCCAAGCUUUCUUGCUGUGCAGACUUGUUCGCUUUUGAUGUACUGUUCCAUUUUCAUCGUUUUCGCCAGAACGUUCUCAAUUCAUUCUCAUGAAACAAAUUCUCACAAAAACGAAUUAGUAGAUAACAAGAUUAAAUAAAUAUAAUAUGUUUGUAAUCUUUAAAACAUCAAAUAAGGAUUUUGUCUCAACAACUUUGUCCUCCGCACGAUUUAUUAGGAGCUUUGUCCUCCGCACGUUUAAAGUAUAUUAAUACUUAUGAUGACGAUUGGUACCACAUGCAUAUAAGGAGUCUAAGAGCAUUGUCGCAUUGUCGUGUCUAAGAUGCUAUGUUGUUGAUGAUGAUUGAAUAUGUGAUUACGUGAUAAUUGUUUAUCAAAUAUGCAAAGUUGUUUAAGAUUGAAUAUGAUGUUAAUGUUAAUUUAUGAUUCGAAUUACAUUGAUUAAUAUUAUUUUGUUAUGAAAUCUCACCCCUUCUGCUUGAAAAUGUUGCCCUUCGUAUGGGUAACUUGCAGGUGAUCGUGCUUAGUGUGCAGUUUGCCGUUGUGAGUGGCCUUGCCUCGCUGUGUCGUCUAGGUCGCUCUGAUACGUAACGGGAUGGGGUUUUAUGUUAUGCAUGCUUCAUUCUCUUACGUAACUAAUAUGUUAUUUUUAUAAUAUUAUCAAUUAUGAUUUGAAAUAUUUUGAUGGGGCCUGCGUGCCGAAACGUUUUAUGGAUUAUGAUAUAAUUUCCGCUGCAAUGUUUAAGUUAUUUGGUUAAAUUAUUAUUUAACUGUUUUGGAUUAUGUUAUAUGUGAUAUCCCGUUGUUUACGAUGCUUACUCUGAUAAAUGUUUUAAGAAAUUUUUAUAUUGGGAAAACGGAGUGUUACAGAAACUCCCCCUAUAAAUACCGCAUUCCUCAUUCACAAUUUCUCAUUCAUAACGAAGUGGUUCAAGAGGAAUGCAGUCACUAUGCAUCUAGGGAGGAUUCUCUCUCUUCACUCCAAAUUUUUCUAGAGUAUUUUUAUUUCUUUUAUAAUUUCUCUUUAGUUACCAUGGGUAACUAAAUCUUUUUAGGCUUGGGUUCUAAGAUUAACCUCUAUUCUGGUUGUUGGAUAAUUUAUGUAAAGUCUUUAUUUUAGUUAUUUAUCUUUAUGCUACUAGUUUUACUGUUGUUGCGUAAGAUUUGUCUACUAAAGCAUAAUCUACUUAGAAUAAUUGAACGUGAGUUAACUGUUAAUUAAUUCCAACAAAAUGAAUAGAGAUGAUUCAAAUUAUGUUCAAUAUUUAAGCUAACUGUGUCCUCUAUUUAAAUUAAUUGUUAUAUAUUAUAAACCUGAUAUAGCAUAGCCUAUAUAGGGCUCACAUGAAGCGAUCACAAUCGAUAAAACUAUAUUCUAUAGCUAACGGUUGAUCCUACAAUACGCUCAAUCAAUGCAAAAAUAUGUUGUCACCUAUUGGGUUCAUAUUUCUAUAAAUAACUUUGCCACGGCCAAACAGUAUUAUUUCUCUUUUGUGUUUUUUUCUUUUUAUAUCAUGAAAGGUCAAAAUAAUGGAUAUUUGUUAAAAUAAAAUAGCAUGAAUCCUUAUCAUUGAUGAGUUUUUUAUAUGACCUCCUUACUAAGCAUGAUAAAGAAACAAAUUGAACACAUUGAUGCAUUUAAGAGAUAUUUAAUAAUUAUUCUAAUUUUAAAAAGUAUCUAUAAUAUACAUAAAGAAAACUACCUCCUUUCAACACUUUUGGGUUGAAUUUUUCUUUCUAAAAAUGUCAUCAAUUUUCAAUACAAAUAAUACAUAUAAUAAAUAGACAAGAAUAAAUUUAAAUAUUAAAAAAACGUAACAAAUACGAUAUGAAUAUAUAUAUAUAUAUAUAUAUAUAUAUAUAUAUAUGUGUGUGUGUGUUUUUUUUUUCUUUAUCAUUUAAAAAGUGUAACAAACUAAAUGAGUAUAUUUAUAUUUAAUUUUUUCCAAUUACAUCUUUAAACAACUUUUUCUAUAAUAAAGAUUGUUGUUGGUGUUAUUGAAAUAAAUAAUCAUGUUUAAUUUGGUUUGUUAUACCUAGAAAGCAACAAAAAUUUAUAUUUUUAGUUUUAAUCAAAAUCAAAAUUUCAUAAAAAAAAAAAUAUAAUUCAUAAUUUUCAAAUUUUAACGCGGUAAAAAGAGUGAAAAUACGGGCACGUAAGUGCCCAUCUUUACGCUAAUUUUUAUAAUUGCAUAAGUGACUUUUUAGCUGAUGAAACGAUAUCAUAAUCUUUAUAAAUUGUAAAACCACAUUCUAUUUGUUAUAUGCAAAAGGCGAGAAAUAUGGCUAAACUUGUCAAGCUUGUUUAUGUUAUAAUUGUGUUUUAUACCCUAUUUCUUGUUGCAACGGAAAUUGUUUGUGAGCUAAUUUUUCAUACUCUUGAAAUUUCCUUUUAUUUCUUUUUAUCUCGUUUUAGUAACAUUAUUUUGUUCUUUUUCCUUCAAUACAGCGGGUAUUCCUUGUAACGAUGAUGUUGAUUGUCCACAGACUCUGUGUGAACAGUUAAUUGCCGACUUCAAGUAUAUGAUAGAUUUUAAGUCGGAGUGUGUUUCCCGUAUGUGUGCAUGUACCGGAAGUCCCGUUUAAGCUGCACUGGUGGUUGGUUUUGGUUCAAAAUGGAACAAUGAAAAAUACCUUUAAUAUUGGGUUGCUUAUAUAUUUUCACCAUAGAUGUGGAAAUCAUAAUAGGCUAUUAAUAAAAUUAUAAAUUAUACAUGUGGCCUUUAAAUAUCUUUUCUACGUACCCUUGUUAUUAAUUAAUUACUAAAAUCAAAAGAAAUUUCCUUCUCAAUUACAUGUCGUUGAGUUUUCCACCUAGAUAUGUGUUGUAUUUUUUUAUCUUAUUAAAAUAACAUAAAAUCUUAUUUACUCUCAAUCAAAAUCAAUCUAGAAUAUAAGGGUGUCUCUAUGUACUUCUCUAGGUGUGUGUUUAAUUGUUUUUUUUGUUGCAUAUAUGCAAAUAUCAAGUCAUAAAAACAUGUUUUACCUUAAUAAACACAACCAGGUGUUACUAAAAAAAUAUAAUCAUAAAAACCUAUAAUGAAAUAUAGAUAUACAAAUCAAGGAUAGAGGGAAAAGAAAUAUCUUCAAAUAAUAGAUGGAAAAUAGUGUUUUAUUUCUUUCUUCAUUACGAGAACUACGAUCUUUGGCUCUGGAACUGAAUCAUUUCCUUGUAUCUGAGAAAGACUUCCAGAUUCAAAGGAAGGAAGUUUAAUUGGACUGAAUCAGAAAUUUUAUUCUAUGAUUGAUCAGUAUAAACAUCAACACCUUCGAAUUGGAUCAGUUUCUCCUGAACAAAUAAGUGCUUGGGCAAAAAAAAUCCUACCUAAUGGAGAAAUUGUUGGAGAGGUAACAAAACCCUAUACUCUUCAUUACAAAACCAAUAAGCCUGAAAAAGAUGGAUUAUUUUGUGAACGAAUUUUUGGGCCUAUAAAAAGUGGGAUUUGUGCUUGUGGAAAUUAUCGAGUAAUCGGAGAUAAAAAAGACCAACCCAAAUUUUGUGAACAAUGCGGAGUAGAAUUUGUUGAUUCUCGGGUACGUAGGUAUCAAAUGGGGUAUAUAAAACUAGCAUGUCCAGUAACCCAUGUAUGGUAUUUGAAACGUCUUCCUAGUUAUAUUGCGAGCCUUUUAGAUAAACCUCUUAAAGAAUUAGAAGGUCUAGUAUACUGCGAUGUGUGAUUUGAUAAAAAUUCUUAUUGUACAGAUUUCAAAUGAGAAACUGUCAUUCCAUUCAAUUAAAUUGGAAUGUCCUCUAUCUGGCAUGUCUCUUGGGAUGAGUAACAUGAAGCUCAGAAUUCAUGGGUGUAUUGAAUACUCCCAAAUCAAUAAGGGAAUUGGUCUAUGGUCAAUUCAGUAACAAAUAAAUAUUUAUUUAUAACCGUACGUACCUUGUGAAAAAAAAAAAAUUAUUUUUUUGUGGAAUUAAUUAUUUCAUCUCUUUUUUUUUUAAGAACUUAAAUUAAGUUCAAAGAAUAAAAUAUAAUAUAUCAUGAUUGCCGAAGUCUAUCUAUCGCAUAUAGGCUUAAAGACAUCGUGGCAUAACCGUCGAGGUGACGUCUUGACCUAAAAGAUCAAAUGGUAUGAUACAUAGACAAAGAAAUCUCUUAUGAAUUCGAGGAUAUUCCUUUUUUUUAUUAAAAAGUAUAUUUUAAAGGAUUCUUCGUUCGAAGGGAGGUAGACUACUCAAGAAUUUUACAUUGAAUUUCUGUCGUAAUUUCGAAUUGCAUAAAGAAUUCAGAAACAAAGAAGAAUGUAUCAAUGAAAUGUUGCUUCGUCUGUAUUGAUAACUUGAGUAAAGAGUAAACCUUUUUUAUUUUAGAUUUAGAGGUUUUCAAAAAUUUGAAAACGGAAACCACUUUCUUUAUCUUUAUUGUGUGUAAAUACUUUAGCCGGAUGAGAGGAAACCCUCACGUCCGAUUUUCAAAGGGGGAGAUCCAUCUUAUUGGAUCCUAUCCAAAUUUUUCGUUUGCUAGGCCCGUAGUUAAAAAACCUACUUUCUUACGAUUACGAGGUUCAUUCGAAUACGAAAUCCAAUCUUGGAAAUACAGUAUCCCACUCUUUUUUGCUACUCAAGGUUUCGAUACAUUUCGAAAUAGAGAAAUUUCUAGUGGAGCAGGUGCUAUACGAGAACAAUUAGUUGAUUUGGAUUUAAGAAUUAUUAUGGAUUCUUCGUUGGUAGAAUGGAAAGAAUUAGGAGAAGAGGGAUCCGCCGACAAUGAAAAUGAAAAUGAAUGGGAAGAUCGAAAAGUAGGAAGAAGAAAGAAUUUUUUGGUUCGACGCAUGGAAUUAGUUAAGCACUUUAUCCGAACAAAUAUAGAACCAGAAUGGAUGGUUUUAUCUCUCUUACCAGUUCUUCCUCCCGAAUUGAGACCAAUUAUUCAAAUAGAUGGAGGGAAACUAAUGAGUUCGGAUAUUAAUGAACUCUAUAGAAGAGUUAUCUAUCGGAACAAUACUCUUAUUGACCUAUUAACAACAAGUAGAUCUACACCAGGGGAAUUAGUAAUGUGUCAAGAAAAAUUGGUACAAGAAGCCGUGGAUACACUCCUUGAUAAUGGAAUCCGCGGACAACCAAUGAGGGACGGUCAUAAUAAAGUUUACAAAUCGUUUUCAGAUAUAAUUGAGGGCAAAGAGGGAAGAUUUCGAGAGACUCUGCUUGGAAAACGAGUUGAUUAUUCGGGGCGUUCUGUUAUUGUCGUAGGUCCAUCACUUUCAUUACAUCGAUGUGGAUUGCCCCGCGAAAUAGCAAUAGAGCUAUUUCAGACAUUUCUAAUUCGUGGUUUAAUUCGAAAACAUUUUGCUUCGAACAUAGGAGUUGCUAAGAGUAAAAUACGGGAAAAAGAACCGAUUGUAUGGGAAAUACUUCAAGAAGUUAUGCGGGGGCAUCCAGUAUUGCUGAAUAGAGCGCCUACUUUGCAUAGAUUGGGCAUACAGGCAUUUCAACCUAUUUUAGUAGAAGGACGUGCUAUUUGUUUACAUCCAUUAGUGUGUAAGGGAUUCAAUGCAGACUUUGAUGGGGAUCAAAUGGCUGUUCAUGUGCCUUUAUCUUUGGAGGCUCAAGCAGAAGCUCGUUUACUUAUGUUUUCUCAUACAAACCUCUUGUCUCCGGCUAUUGGGGAUCCCAUUUCCGUACCAACUCAAGAUAUGCUUAUAGGACUUUACGUAUUAACUAGCGGAAAUCGUCGAGGUAUUUGUGCAAACAGGUAUAAUCCGUUUAAUUGCCGAAAUUCUAAAAAUGAAAAAAUUAGCAAUAAUAACUCUAAGUAUAUGAAAAAAAAAGAACCCUUUUUUUGCAAUUCCUAUGAUGCAAUUGGAGCUUAUCGACAGAAAAGAAUAAAUUUAGAUAGUCCUUUUUGGCUCCGGUGGCGAAUAGAUCAAUGCAUUAUGUCUUCAAGAGAAGUUCCUAUCGAAGUUCACUAUGAAUCUUUUGGUACCUAUUAUGAAAUUUAUGGGCAUUAUUUAGUAAUAAGAAGUAUAAAAAAAGAAAUUCGUUGUAUAUACAUUAGAACCACUGUUGGUCAUAUUUCUUUUUAUCGAGAAAUUGAAGAAGCUAUACAAGGUUUUUCUCGAGCCUAUUCAUAUGGUAUCUAAUCAUAUAGAUGGUUAGUGUUGAUAUCCAAGCUAGGUAAAUUUAUGUUAUGAUACUGGCGUAAAUUCAGGUCAACUAGCAUCUUUUCUAUUUUCUACGUGAAUAAACAUAAAGAAAAGGAAGUUUUCCAAUCAUUCACUCAAAUUCAUUGUCGAACCGAAUCCCACUGAGUGGAAUAUGGAGGUACUUAUGGCAGAACGGGCCAAUCUAGUCUUUCACUUUCUUCCAUGCUUAGUGCGCAUGAUAGAAAGAGUCGAGCUUUGGAGUUUAGAAGUACUUUUUCUUUAUCUUCCUUUGACCAUGAUGCUUCUGGUGUGAGUGUAUCCACCUUUGUUGUUGCAUCAGUUGUCAUAGGUAUAUGUUCUCCAUUUGUGAUUAUUUUCCACAUAUCCACGUCUUGGGAUCUGAGGAAUAGUUUCAUUUUUCCUUUCCAGAAAUAAUAGUUCUUUCCAUUGAAGAAUGGUGGUCUUGUGCAUGAUAGACCUUCUGGUAUGUACUUUUCUUUUGACAUUGCCUUCUUCCUGAAUCUUUUCCUCCAACACUUGUUAGGUGUUUUUGUAGAGCCCGGGCUCUGAUACCAAUUAAAGUAGCAAUAAACGUCACAAGAAAGGGGGGGUUUGAAUUGUGACCCUUUUAAAAAUUAUUCCUGAAACUUAAGUUUAGAUUUAUAUACUCAAGAAUAAUCUUGGUGUAUGUUAGCUUAACAAGAUUAGAGUAUAUAACAAUUAAUUGAAUUUAGAACAGAACAUUCUGAAGACUGAUUAUAAACAGAAUGAGAAAAAUGAUGUUAAGUUAAAAGAUUAUUUUAGCAAGGACCAGAAUGUUCUGGAGAUUAAUAAAAUAAUGUGUGUGUGUGUUGUGUAACUUUAAAUAAAGAGAGAGAUAGAGAUAGAGAGAGAGAGAGAGAAGAAUAACACAGGAGAGUUAUCCUGGUUCACCAAACCCGGCUACUUCCAGUCCCCACACCUCGUGUGAGAUUAUCCACUAUAGUUUUCUUGCUAACAGAAACUUCUGACUAGCACUACAAUAUCUUGAUCACACCAGAUCAGUCCGUAACCUCUGUAUUAUCAACCUCAGCAGGCUUAUACAAUUCUUUGCACACUAGCAAAAGAAAGGUUGGAAUUUUCUAUCUCAAAACUAUUAAGCCCAAUAGACUUUGAGAAAUACAACACUCUUUGUAUGAAGAGAUUUGUUUUGGAUCGAAUAAAUACUCAAAUCUUUGUUUGAGUUUUACAAGAGGCAAAUUCAAGAGAGAUGAUCCAAGAGAUAUAGUGAGAGAGCUUGGAAUUUGCUUUGUUUGUGAAGAGCUUUGUUUGUAGUGAUGAUUUUCACUUUGAGAGAUAUUAGCUUGCAAAACUCUUGCUUAUGACCUUCAAAGGCCCUUGUAUUUAUAGGUGAGGAGUGUCUUGGUACCAAGGGAGAAAAUAGAGCUGUUGGACACGUUUUUGAUAGCUGUCCAAAGUCUCAAUUGAUUUCUCUUUUCUUCUUUAAAAUAGCCAGAACGUUCUCAGAAUGUUCUUUCUGAUUUGCCUGACUUAGAAAGCACUGUUGCUUUGCUUGCGCAUGAGAUAACCAGCUGUGAUGAGCUGUAUAACUUGCAGCCCACUUCUGAUGAUGUCAUGUCCUUUUGCUCUAGUGAUGUCAUGCUUAAGUAAGCCAUGUGAUCUUAUCCAUUUAAUGGGCUUUACUUUUUCAAAUGGGCUUAAAGCUUUUCUUAUGGCCCAAUAGACAUAAUCAGCCAAGCUUUCUUGCUGUGCAGACUUGUUCGCUUUUGAUGUACUGUUCCAUUUUCAUCGUUUUCGCCAGAACGUUCUCAAUUCAUUCUCAUGAAACAAAUUCUCACAAAAACGAAUUAGUAGAUAACAAGAUUAAAUAAAUAUAAUAUGUUUGUAAUCUUUAAAACAUCAAAUAAGGAUUUUGUCUCAACAACUUUGUCCUCCGCACGAUUUAUUAGGAGCUUUGUCCUCCGCACGUUUAAAGUAUAUUAAUACUUAUGAUGACGAUUGGUACCACAUGCAUAUAAGGAGUCUAAGAGCAUUGUCGCAUUGUCGUGUCUAAGAUGCUAUGUUGUUGAUGAUGAUUGAAUAUGUGAUUACGUGAUAAUUGUUUAUCAAAUAUGCAAAGUUGUUUAAGAUUGAAUAUGAUGUUAAUGUUAAUUUAUGAUUCGAAUUACAUUGAUUAAUAUUAUUUUGUUAUGAAAUCUCACCCCUUCUGCUUGAAAAUGUUGCCCUUCGUAUGGGUAACUUGCAGGUGAUCGUGCUUAGUGUGCAGUUUGCCGUUGUGAGUGGCCUUGCCUCGCUGUGUCGUCUAGGUCGCUCUGAUACGUAACGGGAUGGGGUUUUAUGUUAUGCAUGCUUCAUUCUCUUACGUAACUAAUAUGUUAUUUUUAUAAUAUUAUCAAUUAUGAUUUGAAAUAUUUUGAUGGGGCCUGCGUGCCGAAACGUUUUAUGGAUUAUGAUAUAAUUUCCGCUGCAAUGUUUAAGUUAUUUGGUUAAAUUAUUAUUUAACUGUUUUGGAUUAUGUUAUAUGUGAUAUCCCGUUGUUUACGAUGCUUACUCUGAUAAAUGUUUUAAGAAAUUUUUAUAUUGGGAAAACGGAGUGUUACAGAAACUCCCCCUAUAAAUACCGCAUUCCUCAUUCACAAUUUCUCAUUCAUAACGAAGUGGUUCAAGAGGAAUGCAGUCACUAUGCAUCUAGGGAGGAUUCUCUCUCUUCACUCCAAAUUUUUCUAGAGUAUUUUUAUUUCUUUUAUAAUUUCUCUUUAGUUACCAUGGGUAACUAAAUCUUUUUAGGCUUGGGUUCUAAGAUUAACCUCUAUUCUGGUUGUUGGAUAAUUUAUGUAAAGUCUUUAUUUUAGUUAUUUAUCUUUAUGCUACUAGUUUUACUGUUGUUGCGUAAGAUUUGUCUACUAAAGCAUAAUCUACUUAGAAUAAUUGAACGUGAGUUAACUGUUAAUUAAUUCCAACAAAAUGAAUAGAGAUGAUUCAAAUUAUGUUCAAUAUUUAAGCUAACUGUGUCCUCUAUUUAAAUUAAUUGUUAUAUAUUAUAAACCUGAUAUAGCAUAGCCUAUAUAGGGCUCACAUGAAGCGAUCACAAUCGAUAAAACUAUAUUCUAUAGCUAACGGUUGAUCCUACAAUACGCUCAAUCAAUGCAAAAAUAUGUUGUCACCUAUUGGGUUCAUAUUUCUAUAAAUAACUUUGCCACGGCCAAACAGUAUUAUUUCUCUUUUGUGUUUUUUUCUUUUUAUAUCAUGAAAGGUCAAAAUAAUGGAUAUUUGUUAAAAUAAAAUAGCAUGAAUCCUUAUCAUUGAUGAGUUUUUUAUAUGACCUCCUUACUAAGCAUGAUAAAGAAACAAAUUGAACACAUUGAUGCAUUUAAGAGAUAUUUAAUAAUUAUUCUAAUUUUAAAAAGUAUCUAUAAUAUACAUAAAGAAAACUACCUCCUUUCAACACUUUUGGGUUGAAUUUUUCUUUCUAAAAAUGUCAUCAAUUUUCAAUACAAAUAAUACAUAUAAUAAAUAGACAAGAAUAAAUUUAAAUAUUAAAAAAACGUAACAAAUACGAUAUGAAUAUAUAUAUAUAUAUAUAUAUAUAUAUAUAUGUGUGUGUGUGUUUUUUUUUUCUUUAUCAUUUAAAAAGUGUAACAAACUAAAUGAGUAUAUUUAUAUUUAAUUUUUUCCAAUUACAUCUUUAAACAACUUUUUCUAUAAUAAAGAUUGUUGUUGGUGUUAUUGAAAUAAAUAAUCAUGUUUAAUUUGGUUUGUUAUACCUAGAAAGCAACAAAAAUUUAUAUUUUUAGUUUUAAUCAAAAUCAAAAUUUCAUAAAAAAAAAAAUAUAAUUCAUAAUUUUCAAAUUUUAACGCGGUAAAAAGAGUGAAAAUACGGGCACGUAAGUGCCCAUCUUUACGCUAAUUUUUAUAAUUGCAUAAGUGACUUUUUAGCUGAUGAAACGAUAUCAUAAUCUUUAUAAAUUGUAAAACCACAUUCUAUUUGUUAUAUGCAAAAGGCGAGAAAUAUGGCUAAACUUGUCAAGCUUGUUUAUGUUAUAAUUGUGUUUUAUACCCUAUUUCUUGUUGCAACGGAAAUUGUUUGUGAGCUAAUUUUUCAUACUCUUGAAAUUUCCUUUUAUUUCUUUUUAUCUCGUUUUAGUAACAUUAUUUUGUUCUUUUUCCUUCAAUACAGCGGGUAUUCCUUGUAACGAUGAUGUUGAUUGUCCACAGACUCUGUGUGAACAGUUAAUUGCCGACUUCAAGUAUAUGAUAGAUUUUAAGUCGGAGUGUGUUUCCCGUAUGUGUGCAUGUACCGGAAGUCCCGUUUAAGCUGCACUGGUGGUUGGUUUUGGUUCAAAAUGGAACAAUGAAAAAUACCUUUAAUAUUGGGUUGCUUAUAUAUUUUCACCAUAGAUGUGGAAAUCAUAAUAGGCUAUUAAUAAAAUUAUAAAUUAUACAUGUGGCCUUUAAAUAUCUUUUCUACGUACCCUUGUUAUUAAUUAAUUACUAAAAUCAAAAGAAAUUUCCUUCUCAAUUACAUGUCGUUGAGUUUUCCAC
rnacentral:lncRNA from 1 species